rnacentral:rRNA from 1 species
AGUGCCUACGGGAGGCAGCAGUGGGGAAUAUUGGACAAUGGGCGCAAGCCUGAUCCAGCCAUGCCGCGUGAGUGAUGAAGGCCUUAGGGUUGUAAAGCUCUUUUAUCCGGGACGAUAAUGACGGUACCGGAGGAAUAAGCCCCGGCUAACUUCGUGCCAGCAGCCGCGGUA